rnacentral:rRNA from 1 species
UACGUAGGGUGCGAGCGUUGUCCGGAAUUAUUGGGCGUAAAGAGCUCGUAGGCGGUUUGUUGCGUCGGCUGUGAAAUCCCGAGGCUCAACCUCGGGUCUGCAGUCGAUACGAGCAAACUAGAGUGUUGCAGGGGAGACUGGAAUUCCUGGUGUAGCGGUGAAAUGCGCAGAUAUCUGCAGGAACACCCGUGGCGAAAGCGGCGCGCUGGACCACUACUGACGCUGAGGAACGAAAGCUAGGGGAGCAAACAGG